rnacentral:rRNA from 1 species
UACAGAGACUGCAAGCGUUAUUCGGAUUCACUGGGCGUAAAGCGCGUGUAGGCUGCGAUGUAAGUCAGGUGUGAAAAGCCCUCAGCUUAACUGAGGAAGUGCACUUGAUACUGUGUCGCUUGAGUGUCGGAGGGGGGUGGCGGAAUUCCCGGUGUAGAGGUGAAAUUCGUAGAUAUCGGGGAGGAACACCUGUGGGCGAAGGCGGCCACC